GGGGGCGUAGCUCAGUUGGGAGAGCGCUGCGUUCGCAACGCAGAGGUCGCCGGUUCGAAUCCGGUCGUCUCCACCA
rnacentral:tRNA from 2 species